ACGCGAGCUGGGUUCAGAAAGUCGUGAGACAGUUCGGUCCCUAUCCAUCGCAGGAGUAGGAAAUUUGAGAAGACCUGUCCUUAGUACGAGAGGACCGGGAUGGACGUACCUCUGGUGUACCAGUUGUUCUGCCAAGGGCAUGGCUGGGUAGCUAUGUACGGAAUGGAUAAGCGCUGAAAGCAUCUAAGCGCGAAGCCAACUUCAAGAUAAGAUUUCCCACCGCAAGGGUAAGACCCCAGAAAGACUAUCUGGUUGAUAGGUCGAAGGUGUAAGUGCAGCAAUGUAUUUAGCUUAUCGAUACUAAUAGGUCGAGGACUUGACCAAU
rnacentral:rRNA from 1 species